GGGACCUUGUAGGGGCCUUGAGUUCCAUACAUAAUCACUAUUAAACUAAUGAAGGCUAUUUUCAAUGGGAGCUCAUUUGGUUUUCUAACACAUUUAACAUGAUAAGCAGACAAUAUUUAGCAUUACAUGUAUGGAUGUAUUUAUUGAAUAUUGUCAGUUUACAUCCCCCUUGCGCAUCUAAUGUCCAACUUAACUAUUGCAGUUGAUGAUUUGGACUUGAAUAAUGUGUAGACUUUUACGGGGUGUUUCUUACCUGGCAAUUGGGAAACAACUAUGUGGUCCUGCCACAGGUUAGCAAAUUCAGUUUGUCACCCAAUAAUUAACUAGGGAAUGCAUGUGAAGAUAACUUUCUCAGCAUUCAUGGCUUCGGUAAUCCCC
rnacentral:lncRNA from 1 species